rnacentral:tRNA from 1 species
UCCCUGGUGGCCUAGUGGUUAGGAUUCUGGGCUUUCACUGCUGUGACCCAGGUUCAAUCCCUGGCUAGGGAA